GUGCUCCGUGUGGCGGCACCGAGCCCACGGUUCCCGUGCACCGGAGGAACACUCACCACCGCAGCGGUUGUGAGGACACACGCGGUCGUGUACGCGCGGGUGACCACGGGGAUCUGCAGGUACUCCUGCUGCAGCGUCUGGGCACCACAAGAAAACCCUGAAGAAUCAUCUAAAGGCACUUUACAAGGUUUAGGACCUUACUCCCAGUGCAGCAGGCUCUUCAUCCACCUUGUCAACGCUCCCUGGGGAGAAGUCAUUGUUUUUGAAUAGCCUUCUUAAAUUAACCUGUGUCACAAAACUGCUCUGUUAAAACUUUUACCAUGAACAUCAGAGUUUCUCCUCUUAAAAAGAGAGAAGUGCUGAUUCACACCCGGUUGUCAUUUGAAUGAAAAUCCUGAUUUCCCUCAAUUCUGUAGGUUCACAUACUUCUGCCAAAUACAAUCUAUUGGGUGAUUUUCAUUGAAAAUAAAAGUAAAGCAGCUGAAGUUCUACUUUUUCCUCUCAAUAUGGUCAAUUAAACCUUUGUCCUUUAAUAUUUUUAUUUAAAAACAACAGGGUGUUCACCACAAUUUGGAGAAACAGCAAAAUGACAUUUUUAAAAUACAAAUGUUUUUACAUUGUCAAUGUAGAGUCUGAGCAGAGUUUCAAGUGAUAUAAUUUCAGCUAAAAGAACUGUAAAAUUAUUUACAGCUCAGCCUAUGCAGUAAAUAUGUUGUAGAAUAAGCAGAAAAUUCAGUUUCUUCUAUAUGUAUUAGUCCUAUUUUGUACUGGGAAUGUCUGGUACUAGAGUUCAUGAACAACACAGAACAAGUAUAAGAAAACAUUUAAUCUCAACUAUAAAGAUUACAGCUAGAGCAUGCACAGACACCAAACACACAGCAAAUAUAAAACAUUAGGAUAAGACCAAUACUUGGUAAAUAUAGGUGCAGCGUCUAAAGCCCUUGUUUGUGGAAGUUUGUCACACUUGCCAAUUGUUCUGACGAAACGAGUUUUUAUGUACAAGGAAACAGGCCUUAGACUGAAAUUCCAUGUUCUGUAGUGAACUCGCAUCACUUUAAGUCAAAGCCUGACUCUAAUUCCACACAGGCCCUAAAGGAACUCACUGAAACAUUCACUUGAUCUUUCUUAGGAAUACAAUCAUUUUUUGUCUAUCAUCAUACUGAAAAAUGUCAUUUAACAUGUUUUCAUUCAGGAGCUUUAAGUUCACAUGCUUUUACAUUUUCUUUUACCAAAUCCAACAUUAAGGAUCUAAAAACAAGAAAACAGACCAAAAUCAGCCCAUUACCAUUACUGACAUCUGUUUUUAAAAUAACUUUAUCAUCAAAAAAAAAAAAAAGAAAAAGAAACAAACAUUAAAA